CGUAGGGUGCGAGCGUUGUCCGGAAUUAUUGGGCGUAAAGGGCUCGUAGGCGGUUUGUCGCGUCGGGAGUGAAAACUCAGGGCUUAACCCUGAGCCUGCUUCCGAUACGGGCAGACUAGAGGUAUGCAGGGGAGAACGGAAUUCCUGGUGUAGCGGUGAAAUGCGCAGAUAUCAGGAGGAACACCGGUGGCGAAGGCGGUUCUCUGGGCAUUACCUGACGCUGAGGAGCGAAAGUGUGGGGAGCGAACAGGAUUAGAUACCCUGGUAGUCCACACCGUAAACGUUGGGCGCUAGGUGUGGGACUCAUUCCACGAGUUCCGUGCCGCAGCUAACGCAUUAAGCGCCCCGCCUGGGGGGUACGGCCGCAAGGCUA
rnacentral:rRNA from 1 species